AAAGCCUUAAGUUAAUCACAAACUAUUAGCCUUCAAAGUUAAAAAUAAAGAUUUUAGAUGAAA
rnacentral:tRNA from 1 species